rnacentral:lncRNA from 1 species
GUCAUUUUGGUACAUAACUUUUUGUGUAGUCUUUUGCUCGUCUAUGGGUAUGGCGGGGCCCUGUCCCGUCGAGUUUCACUACUGUACUCUUAGAGGUCUGUGGACAUUAUGUGGGUUGUAUAUAUAUGUUUUGGAUAAUGGUCUGGACAUGGUUUGUUUGGGAUGUCCGCUUGUACAGGGGCAGCCUUGUUGGCUGCGUACAUCAUUGUGUAUUGUGUAGUGGCAGCCUUGUCGGCUUACGUAUGUUAUUAUGCUUUGAAUAGUGGCGGCCUUGUCGGCUCGCGUAUGCUUUUAUGGUUGAAUGGUUAUGACUCCUUAUGAGACAGGUCUUCUUUAUAUAUAUAUGAUGUUGGGGUUGGCUUGAUUUGAUUAAAUUCCAUAUUGUCUUAGUUUCAGUUGGUUAUACUUAGCAGGUUUGUAUGUGGGUGUCCAAAACGGGCACUAGUCACGGCCCACCCGGUUGGGUCGUGACACCUUGGUAAGAUCCACCUGGACCUUAACUCUAGUGGUACUGCCCCUAGUUCUUUGAGAUGUAGGUGUAUCCAAGAACAACACUUUCCCAAUACUCUCCAAAAUAGUUGAUAAAAGAACUUUGUUGUAGCAAUGCCAAGGAAGUCCCGGAAUAGACACCCCUAUAGGAACAACUAGUGUUUCCUCUUCAGGAGAAAAAUCAGGGGUCCAAGCUUGUAUUCUCAUAGCUUGUCCUUCAAUAUUCAUUUUCAGCUUUGUCCAAACAGUUUUGUAGUCAAGUUCAUUAUCCAGGUCAAUGUAAACAUGCCUAGAAUUGAAAUGUGUGAUUUUAACACCCCCCAUCAGUUGAGUUUGCAAAAUGAAGCUUUUUCUAACUUGCUCCAUCCUAGGCAUUGUGUUAGUAAACUUGCCCACAAGAUUAUAUUUACAAAUCUCCGCUAAUCUAACAUAAUAAUCAUCCUCAUCAAUAAGCACAGCAGGGAAUCCUUGUCUAGUCGUAUGAACAGGCUCAUUCAAAGUAAUUAGAGUUUCAUUUUUUGCCUGAUUAUACCUCAACCUAGCAGCAAAAGACUGUACCACAGUGUAGGGGGCAGGUUCUGAGGUUUGAUCAUUUUUACUGUUGUUAUCAGGUUGUUGCCCUGCUGUUGAUUAAUUGGGUUCCUAGUAGUAGCCUGAGAAGCCUGGCCAAACUUGAAAAGUUAUUGGAGAUUUUGGGAAAGUUGUUGUGAUACUCCUCUCUUGCCCUCUCGACUUAGUUAUUAGAAUUACCUCCCCCCUUCUUAUAGGUGUGGCUGCUGUGAUCAGGUUGCUUCCCACUAUUCCCUUGUCUCUGAUCUGAUUUGGCUCCUUCGAAAUUCCUUUUUCCUUUCUCAGUUUGCUGCUCCUGCCUGUCUGAUUGAUCAGAUUUUUCAUUAGCCUGUUCAUGUCUUUGCUCAUUUGCCUUCCCUUAUCUUCCAUCUUUGUCAUCAUUUUGCAAAUUACCUGCAUUAAGAAUAGGAGUUAGGUGUGAUGAAGUACCUGUCAUGGCAAAGGAGAAAUUGGACGUUUCAGUUGUUGAUGCUGUUGAGUGUGUGCUCAUGUUCUUCGUGUUAGUGCCCUGUUGCUCAUUCAAAUCUUCCCCCUGCUGAUUUGUUUCCUUUGUUUGUUGUUUUUGCUUCAAUUUCAUGAGGAACAAUUGUAGUGAUGUCUCGUUCCUCCCUUCGAACACAGAUUGAGGUUUCCCUGCACUUUCAUGUCUCCCAUGUUGAGCCAUGGACUUGUGAUCAGUGGAAGGUGUUGGAUUGUUGUUAUUGAUGCUUCCCCUGUUAGAAUAAUUGAAGAAACCUGUUACUAGAGUGUUUUGGGCUUGAGAGUCAGCCUCUUUCGACGACCAUCCAUUGAUUCCGGCAUAUGGAGCUGUAGCGUCACCGGAGUUCUCACCGACGGCAUUUCGACCGUCCAUUUGCUUCAAAAUUUGGCUGAGAGGGGCCUCAUCAUUGGGGAAACAAACCCCAGUGAUCAAAUCCCUUCGAAUUCGACCGGAAGUUGCUCGAAUAUGGGUGCGCGAUCCGGCGAUUCUGUCGCGAUUCCUCCCAAAAUUGCCUCUCGAUUUCUCCCAAAAUCGCCUCUCGAUUUUGAGUGUUUGGGACGAUGGAAAUGGCAAAUUUUUGGACCUGUAAUAGAUCCUGAUGAGAAGAGUUCAUUUCCAUAGUCUGUUCCUCUCAAUUCCUACCAGAAAUUCCUUGGGAAAUAUUUUUGCGAUCUUUGUCGAACACCCCUUCAAAACUCGCAGGUUCCAUCGCAUCUUUGACCUGCAAAAUUCGAGGUGAUCUGAGGUUGUUCUUGGGGCGUGCUAUACAGGGGUAAGGAGCCUUCAUCAAGGUGCACCUUUUGGGUUUGGUCCGGCGGCCCACGCGCCGUUGCGGCACUGGGCGAGCUGGAAUUCCAGCCGUUGUGAGAGAGCGUCUGCAAAGAGAGAGAAAAUUCUAGAGAGAGAAAAAAUCCAAAAAAUGAGGCGCGGUGUACUUUGGGCUUUUUUUUAUUAUUUUAUUUUAAUACCCUUGGAGGGGUAGGGGCUGAGCGACACCCCCAGGCCUUAACAUUAAUCUAAAACAAAAUUAUACAAGGAGGGGGGCAUAAAACCAAACCUCCAAUUUUUAAGAUGGUUUAGAGUCGACUUUCCUAAUGAACUUCAACUCCUCCCCUUACAAUUGAAAGAUGCAACCUAAAUACUAAUAGUCUAAGGAGAGGACUCCUCUCGUUACAAGAUAUCUAGGAAGCGUAAAUUAGGGAGACUCUCCCUUUACAAUAAAAAUCAUAUACAAAAAACUAACUAGUCUAUAUCUCUAUUCAAAGUAGCUAUAUUACUUGGAUAUAGCCAAAUUGAAUAGAUACAACCUUCAAGGGGGUUCAAAAAUCUUUUUAGUCUUCUUUCUUCUAAAUGUUGGCAUGUUUUGCAGGUCCAUUUGGUAGUAUGCUUGGGUUUCUUUGGGUAGUUGAUUCGUGUUGAAGUAGACUUGAGGUGUUGUUGUGUUGUGACUGUGCUUUGCAAGGGAAUCUGCCACACUGUUUGCUUCCCUGAAAAUGUGAGAGCAGCUGAAGUACUGUGUUUGUGAGAUAAGUUGCUGGAUUUCCUCUACGUGAUUAGCAACAGUCCAUUGAGGGGCUGUUUCCUUGGUAAUCCACUGAACCACCAGUUGCGAAUCCAACUCCAUUUGUAUAUUUUUGUAGCCUAGUUCUAGUGCCCACGAUAGUCCAAGUUGAGCAGCCUUAGUUUCUGCUUGAUUGUUCGAUCCUUCUCCAAGAAAUAUUGAGUAUGCCAUCACCAUUUUGCCUUCUCUGUCCCUGAGAAUACCUCCAGCCCCUAUCUUCCCUGUGUUAAUGACAGCACUCCCCAUCUGUGUUGAGCUUGAUCCAAUGCUCUGGAGGUCUUUUCCACGCUACCAUCUAUACUUUGAUAGUAUGUUUGCACCUUUCGCUUGUUUGGAUUAAUGUUGUCCAUCUUGCAGGCCAAUUAAUUUGGGGAAAGGCAUUUUUCAGCAUCUUGUAUGUAUCUUUAUAGAUUGCAUAUUUGACCCGGCUGAUAUUAGUGACUUUGCCUCCGUAUUUACUUGCACACCUGUUCUUCCAUAGGUUCCAACAGAUGAAGACUGGCGUAGCUUGUAACAGUAGUUGAUGGCCUGCAUUUCGUGGCUUUGCUGUCCACCAUUGUCUCAGCCUCGCCUGCAAUGUUAGUUGCCCAGGUUGUAUUCCUGCAGUAGCUGCAAAAAAAUUCCAAACAGCAGUUGCAAAAGGUCCUGAAUUGAAGGUGUGGUCAAUACUGUCCAUGCCUAUUCUGCCAAAACAACAAUAACAAGGUGAAGGCUCAAUGCCAAAGUUAGCUAACUUGUCAUUUGUAGAUAGUUUGCCUUUUAAAGUUCUCCAUAGAAGAAAAGAAGAUUUAAAAGGGAUUGAUUUCUGCCAUAAAAAGGAAUUGAACUUGUUCUUAGCCUUUUUCUCCCUGAUCUGCUCCCAUGCUGUUGCACAACUGAAUUGACCAUGGCUGCUGAGAGUCCAAAUAGGCUGAUCAGGUAGUUGUUGUUGAUGAGGAAUCUGAGUGGCUAGAAUGUUAUUUAGUUGAUUGGCUGGUGCAUUCUCUAUUAAUUUGUUCCACUUCCAUUCUCCAUUCUCCCAGAAUUCUGCCACAGUGGUAUUGUUUAGCCUGUUGCUGCUAUUGGUGUGGUGAGCUAAUGGCCCUAUGCCAGCCAAUUGUCCCACCAAAAGGAACAAUUCCCGGCUUGAAGUCUCCAUUGAAUGUGUUGCUCCACCUGUUGUCUAGAAGCUAGCAUAUGUUUCCAAGUUAGAGAAUCUCCAGUAUCCCAUUUUUUGCUCACCGGAUUAGAUCUUUGAAAAUAUUUAGCUUUCAAGAACUCUCCCCAUAAGGUUCGUUUUGUUCUGAAUAUCCACCAUUGUUUGAAUUGGAAGGAUUUACAAACAUCAUGUAGGUUUCUCAUCCCAAUCCCCCUUCCUCAUAAGGGUAGCUUAAGGUUUUCCAAGAAGACCAAUGAUACUUUUUGUUAUUGUUUCUCCAUCCCCAAAAGAAAUCUGCAAUAAGCAUUUGGAUUUGCUUGAUGAUAGUGUUUGGGGAGUUACUGCAGAUAAUAAGUGUAUUGGCAAAGCCUGAAGAACAUGCUUAGAGAGUACAACCUUUCCACCGAAGCUAAGUUGCUUAGUUUGCCAACCUGUAAUUCUGGAAACAACUUUGUUAAUAAGAUCUGAGAAAUAAACAUUCCUAGGUCGGCCAACAAAUAAAGGGCAACCUAGGUAAGUGAUGAGGCCUUGUUUUUGUUUAAAACCAGUUAGCCUUCUAAUCCUAUCCUUAGUGCUACUGAAAGCACUAGGGUGAAGCAUAAAAUUGCUUUUAUCUCCAUUAAUAAGUUGCCCUGAAACCUUCUCAUACUCCCUCAAGGUGUACAUAAGGAGUUUCAAGGUUUUGGAUCUUCCUGAAGUGAAAAGAAUUAUGUCAUCUGCGAAGCUUAGAUGAUUCACUUGAGGCCCCCUUUGCUCCAUGAUGAAACCAUGAUAUUUCGGAUGAUUGUGUAACAUAUUGAGUGAUCUUGAUAAUACUUCCGCACCUAAAAUAAAUAGGGCCGGAGAGAGUGGAUCACCCUGUUUGAGGCCUCUAGUAGAUUGGAAGAAAAACCUUUUUACCAUUGAUAAUGACAGAAUACCAGUUAUUGGCCAUGAUUCUCCAAAUCAUGUCAAUAAACACCUCAUUGAACCCCAUUUUCCUUAGAACUAGACAAAUAUAUGACCAAGAUACCCUGUCAUAAGCUUUUGCCAUGUCUAAUUUAACAAUCACAUUACUGCCAAUGUUGGGAUUCUUAAUAUGAUGGAUGAUUUCCUAAGCGAGCAUGAUAUUUUCAGAUAUGCUUCUUCCUUUUACAAAACCAGACUAGUUGGUAGAGAUCAAAGACGGGAGGAUAGGACUAAUGUUAUGCCUCAUAUUUUUUUAUACGUAGUGCGCAUCGUGAUCUAGAAGACGUAAAGAAAUAUUAGGCAAAGAUGUUAUUUCCAAAUGUGAUAUUAAGUAUGAGUUGGCUAAUGUAAGUGCCAUUAACUUUAAGUGAGGGAUUGGAUUAAUUAGUGGCUAAUUUGGAUUGAUUUAAUCCAAUGGGCCCCACCACUCAUAAUUAGUGGCGAUAAGGAUUAAUUUAAUCCAGUGGGCCCCACCACUCAAGGCAAAAAUUAAAAAGGGAUCAGAUUGUGGGCUGGCCUUAGUGGACAGGUGUAGAGGGGGGCUGCCUCCACUUCAUACUAUUAAAUGAGGUGGAGAAAUCCACUCCAUGCUAAAUAAAGUGGUGAAAUGCAUUGCUGCAUAUUAUCUUCUUCUUCACCACUUGUCUUAGGCAGCCAUGGAAAUGGAGAAACCAACCCUGCAACUCUUGGCCAGCAGCUGCAAAUAAUUUGGUUAGUAAUCUCCUUGUUUGGUGUGUUAAUUCUUUAGAAUACCCUUGUUAAUUAUCCAUUAAUUUUAAGAAGGGGGCAUGACCAGUAGCUUAGGAAGUUUGUUUUAGUUAUUGAAUGUGCUAAGUAUGAACGGAAACCAUAAUCGGAUUAUUAGUGGUGUCGUGUUGGUGCUUGGGCUGUUUUGAUUAAAGCAAACUGCAGGAAAAUUCUUUUUUGGCAUUAUGUAUAUGUUGAAUGUGAUUAUGAGUAUAUACUCCAAAGGAUGAAUAUGAUAAGGUAGAUGUGUUGCGAAUUAUAAAACGAGUUAUCGCUCGGUGUGUCGUUGCUUCGCUGCUAUGGUUACCGAGACGGAACUGUUUUGGGGAGGGGGCUGUUCAAUAUGAUUCUUUGGGUUAUAUGUGUUAUUGGUAUUGCUGUGGAUAAUUUGGAGUGUUGUCGGAUUGGGACGAAGUAAGGAAAAUAGGGGAAGUGCUGCCGAAUUUUCGUUAGAUUAUUAGCUAGCUUACAAGAAAGUAAAGCACGAUGUUUAUCUAAUUGCGGCACGAUUGUUGCUUGUUAUAGAUUAAUAGCUUGAGCAGUAAAUAUUGGACGUGCGGCUCGAUUAUACGGUAUGUAACGCUGUCCCUUCUUUCUUUGUUUGGCAUGACUUUUAAAAAUAAGCGAAUAAUGGACAGAUUUGAUACUUACCUCUAGAGCAUCUAGGUCACGUAUAUUCUUGCUUCCACAAUUAUUCCUCUAUAUAUCGGCUAUGUCUAAGGCUAUGAUAAUCUCUAAUAUCUAUGGUAGUGCUUCUUAGAGUCAUUGAGAUUUUACGUUUCCAUAUCGUAUUAAAGGUUCAUAAUCUUGAUAAAACAUUAAUCUUUGGUAAUACUCCUUGUUGGUUCACGUUGAUUGUUCUAUUGAGUUGUAAGAAAUGAUUUUAAUUGCAUAUGGUUGCUCAUAAUAUUCUGCUCGUGCAUAGAGUCAUUUAUCAUUUCACCGAGUCCCAGGCCGGGUAAUGUUCGUGCGGAGUUUCUUGCAUAUGUCACCGAGUUCCUCACUAGAGGGCCGGGUAUGUAUAUUAUAUAUAUGAUUUGUGAUGAGGAUGGUUAUGAUGAUGAUGAUGACGGAGAUGAUGUGAUGAUUAUUUUGCCGAGCCCCUUACUAGGGAAGCUGGGCACCUUAAAUGUUCAAUAUAUGCAUGAUUUUCACUUAAAAGGGUAUAUGUGUAGCGAUAUUUUGUUUCGACUUGCCAUAUUGGUAUCUUGUCAUCUUUACCUUAUGCUUUACAUACUCAG